rnacentral:misc_RNA from 1 species
GAUGAAGAACGCAGCGAAAUGCGAUACUUGGUGUGAAUUGCAGAAUCCCGUGAACCAUCGAGUCUUUGAACGCAAGUUGCGCCCGAAGCCAUUAGGCCGAGGGGACGCCUGCCUGGGCGUCACACGUCGUUGCCCCCCCAUCUACUCCUUCGGGAUUGCGGGGGGCGGAUGAUGGCCUCCCGUGCGCCUCGUCGCGCGGUUGGCAUAAAUGCCAAGUCCUCGGCGACACACGCCACGACAAUCGGUGGUUGCGAAACCUCGGUUGCCCGUCGUGUGCGGUCGUCGCGCAUCGAGGGCUCGAAAAAAUUGCCGGGCUCCGGCUCGGCUUUCAACGCGACCCCAGGUCAGGCGGGGUUACCCGCUGAAUUUAAGCAUAUCAAUAAGCGGAGGA